AACGAACGCUGGCGGCAUGCCUAACACAUGCAAGUCGAACGAGACCUUCGGGUCUAGUGGCGCACGGGUGCGUAACGCGUGGGAACCUGCCCUUAGGUUCGGAAUAACUCCCCGAAAGGGGUGCUAAUACCGGAUAAUGUCUUCGGACCAAGGAUUUAUCGCCUUUGGAUGGGCCCGCGUUGGAUUAGCUAGUUGGUAGGGUAAAAGCCUACCAAGGCGACGAUCCAUAGCUGGUCUGGGAGGAUGAUCAGCCACACUGGGACUGGGACACGGCCCAAACCCAAGGGGAGGGAGGGAGGGGGGAAAAAGGAAAAAGGGGGGAAAGCAAAAAAAAGAAAGGGGGGGAAGGGGAGAAAGGACUAAGGGUGGAAAAGGUAUUUUACCGGGGAGGAAAAGAAAAGAACGGGGAAAAAAAGCCCGGGAAAACUCGGG
rnacentral:rRNA from 1 species